AAUGUUUUUUUUUCUCUAUAUAGAUCACAUUAUUAAAUCAAACAGGAAAAUAAACGAUCAAUUUGAAUCCAACCCACAAGGCAAUAUUACGAAGAAUCUUCUGUACUUUGCAACUUUCACCAUCGGGCUUCGAACAAUGAAGAGAUAAAAAUACUUAUAUUACUGAACUUCACCAAACUAUAAAUAAGAGUUACCAAAUAUUGAAAGAUCGAUUAAUGUAAUGCAUCACAAUUUUUAUUCCCACCUUUGGGGUAAAUGCAACAAAAAACAACUUCAAAUCCCAUGCUGUUACCAUACAGUACAACACAUUAAAGAUAAGAAACAUCCAAAGUUGUUACAUUGAUUGAAUUUUACAAAUGCUAUCAAUUCUUAUUAAUUAUAAAUUUGCAAACCACAGGUUUCUGGUUCGAUUUUCAGUAUACAAUGCAAGUUUCAAGUUAAGUUCAAGUUAAAGUGCAGGUUUCUGGACCAAAUAUUGACUCCUCUUACCAGAGUUUUCAUACAAAGAGUAUAAUUGCGUUAGCCGAAUAGAUUCUAGAUACCAGAAACCGUUAUCAAUGUAUUAUAUAUAUUUAUAUAUAUUUUAUAUCGAUCAAAAUCAAAACAUUUAUUUGUACAAAUUGUAACUUUAUUAUAAAUCCUUAAAUAAUCAUAAACCUUUAGUAUACGAAUUGGUUACUAGAGCAACUUAUUAACAAAACCGACAUUCGUACGGUGCGAGCGCGUAGUGCGAGCACCAUGGGAAUCCGGGCGAAGCACCGUUCGGUCGUGCCUUAUAUGCAAAACGCAAGCGUGCGAAUAUGCAAACGCAUCGCAAAGCUAUGCCAGGCAGGCAAGCCACAGCGGUCGUUGGGCCGCGUGUAGCGCGCUAGUUUAAUAAUUUAAUUUAAACAAAUCAUUUUUUAAAUAUUAUAAGUUCCCUUAAUAAAGCAAUGCUUACUAAAUAUGUAAACUAACUUAAGAUAUAAUUAUUUAAUAAAUGAAUAUUUUUUAUA